GGGGGGGGCAAGCGUUGUUCGGAAUUACUGGGCGUAAAGGGCUCGUAGGUGGCCAACUAAGUCAGACGUGAAAUCCCCAGGCUCAACUUGGGAACUGCGUCUGAUACUGGAUGGCUUGAAUCCGGGAGAGGGAUGCAGAAUUCCAGGUGUAGCGGUGAAAUGCGUAGAUAUCUGGAGGAAUACCGGUGGCGAAGGCGGCAUCCUGGACCGGCAUUGACACUGAUGAGCGAAAGCCAGGGGAGCAAACGGGAUUAGAUACCCCGGUAGUCCUGGCCCUAAACGAUGAAUGCUUGGUGUGACGGGUAUCGAUCCCUGUCGUGCCGAAGCUAACGCAUUAAGCAUUCCGCCUGGGGAGUACGGUCGCAAGGCUGAA
rnacentral:rRNA from 1 species